UCUCCCUCUCUUACGAUAUUUGCUUCCCCUAGGGCCGCCAUAGUCCGCCUCCACCUCCGCUGUCGUCCCUCUUUGAAGUUUGUCAGGAUCUCUCCCUCUCUCUCAGGUAUGGCUCUUUCCCUCUCUGAUUUCUCCCUCUCCCUCCCUCACUCUCUCUCUCUCCCUCUCUUAUGAUUUUUGCUUCCCCUAGGGCCACCACACUCUGCCUCCACCUCCACCUCCACCUCUGCCUCUGUCGCUGUCUCUCUUUAAAGUCUGUCGGGAUCUCUCCCUCUCUC
rnacentral:lncRNA from 1 species